AGAACGAACGCUGGCGGCAUGCCUAAUACAUGCAAGUCGAACGAACUCUUCGGAGUUAGUGGCGCACGGGUGCGUAACGCGUGGGAAUCUGCCCCUUGGUUCGGAAUAACAGUUGGAAACGACUGCUAAUACCGGAUGAUGACGAAAGUCCAAAGAUUUACUCGCCAAGGGAUGAGCCCGCGUAGGAUUAGCUAGUGGUGAGGUAAGGCUCACCAAGGCAACGAUCCUUAGCUGGUCUAGACGAGGAUGAUCAGCCACACGUGGGACUGAGACACGGCCCAGACCUCCGUACGGGAGCAGCGAGGUACGGAAUACGUUGGACAAGUGGGACGAAAGG
rnacentral:rRNA from 1 species